rnacentral:rRNA from 1 species
GGCGAACGCUGGCGGCGUGCUUAACACAUGCAAGUCGAACGGUGAAGCGCGUGCUUGCACUCGUGGCUCAGUGGCGAACGGGUGAGUAACACGUGAGUAAUCUGCCUAUCACUUUGGGAUAAGUACUGGAAACGGUGGCUAAUACUGGAUCCGACCAAUCAUCGCCUGGGGUGUUGGCGGCAAGAUUUUUCGGUGAUGGAUGGACUCGCGGCCUCUCAGCUUGUUGGCGUGGUCAUGGCUCACCGAGGCGACGACGGGUAGCCGGCCUGGUAGGGUAACCGGCCACACUGGGACUGAGACGCGGCACAGACUCCUACGGGAGGCAGCAGUGGGGAAGAUUGCACUAUGGGCGAAAGCCUGAUGCAGCGACGCCGCGUGGGGGAUGACGGCCAUCGGGUUGUAUACCUCUUUCAGCAGGGAAGAAGCGAAAGUGACGGUACCUGCAGAAGAAGCACCGGCUAACUACGUG